UACGGAGGGUGCGAGCGUUUGUCCGGAAUCACUGGGCGUAAAGGGCGCGUAGGUGGCGACUCAAGUCAACGGUGAAAGCUCGACGCUCAACGUCGAGUCGGCCGUCGAAACUGGGACGCUUGAGCACUGUAGAGGCAGAUGGAAUUCCGGGUGUAGCGGUGGAAUGCGUAGAGAUCCGGAAGAACACCGGUGGCGAAGGCGGCCUGCUGGGCAGUGACUGUAAUGGUCAAUAGCUGACGCUGAGGCGCGACAGCGUGGGGAGCAAACAGG
rnacentral:rRNA from 1 species